rnacentral:rRNA from 1 species
GAUGAACGCUGGCGGCGUGCCUAAUACAUGCAAGUCGAGCGAACGGACGAGAAGCUUGCUUCUCUGAUGUUAGCGGCGGACGGGUGAGUAACACGUGGAUAACCUACCUAUAAGACUGGGAUAACUUCGGGAAACCGGAGCUAAUACCGGAUAAUAUUUUGAACCGCAUGGUUCAAAAGUGAAAGACGGUCUUGCUGUCACUUAUAGAUGGAUCCGCGCUGCAUUAGCUAGUUGGUAAGGUAACGGCUUACCAAGGCAACGAUGCAUAGCCGACCUGAGAGGGUGAUCGGCCACACUGGAACUGAGACACGGUCCAGACUCCUACGGGAGGCAGCAGUAGGGAAUAUUGCGCAAUGGGCGAAAGCCUGACGGAGCAACGCCGCGUGAGUGAUGAAGGUCUUCGGAUCGUAAAACUCUGUUAUUAGGGAAGAACAUAUGUGUAAGUAACUGUGCACAUCUUGACGGUACCUAAUCAGAAAGCAACGGCUAACUACGUG